rnacentral:rRNA from 1 species
GGGUUGUGAGGUUAAGCGACUAAGCGUACACGGUGGAUGCCCUGGCAGUCAGAGGCGAUGAAGGACGUGCUAAUCUGCGAUAAGCGUCGGUAAGGUGAUAUGAACCGUUAUAACCGGCGAUUUCCGAAUGGGGAAACCCAGUGUGUUUCGACACACUAUCAUUAACUGAAUCCAUAGGUUAAUGAGGCGAACCGGGGGAACUGAAACAUCUAAGUACCCCGAGGAAAAGAAAUCAACCGAGAUUCCCCCAGUAGCGGCGAGCGAACGGGGAGCAGCCCAGAGUCUGAAUCAGUGUGUGUGUUAGUGGAAGCGUCUGGAAAGGCGCGCGAUACAGGGUGACAGCCCCGUACACAAAAAUGCACAUGCUGUGAGCUCGAUGAGUAGGGCGGGACACGUGGUAUCCUGUCUGAAUAUGGGGGGACCAUCCUCCAAGGCUAAAUACUCCUGACUGACCGAUAGUGAACCAGUACCGUGAGGGAAAGGCGAAAAGAACCCCGGCGAGGGGAGUGAAAAAGAACCUGAAACCGUGUACGUACAAGCAGUGGGAGCCUCUUUUAUGGGGUGACUGCGUACCUUUUGUAUAAUGGGUCAGCGACUUAUAUUCUGUAGCAAGGUUAACCGAAUAGGGGAGCCGAAGGGAAACCGAGUCUUAACUGGGCGUUAAGUUGCAGGGUAUAGACCCGAAACCCGGUGAUCUAGCCAUGGGCAGGUUGAAGGUUGGGUAACACUAACUGGAGGACCGAACCGACUAAUGUUGAAAAAUUAGCGGAUGACUUGUGGCUGGGGGUGAAAGGCCAAUCAAACCGGGAGAUAGCUGGUUCUCCCCGAAAGCUAUUUAGGUAGCGCCUCGUGAAUUCAUCUCCGGGGGUAGAGCACUGUUUCGGCAAGGGGGUCAUCCCGACUUACCAACCCGAUGCAAACUGCGAAUACCGGAGAAUGUUAUCACGGGAGACACACGGCGGGUGCUAACGUCCGUCGUGAAGAGGGAAACAACCCAGACCGCCAGCUAAGGUCCCAAAGUCAUGGUUAAGUGGGAAACGAUGUGGGAAGGCCCAGACAGCCAGGAUGUUGGCUUAGAAGCAGCCAUCAUUUAAAGAAAGCGUAAUAGCUCACUGGUCGAGUCGGCCUGCGCGGAAGAUGUAACGGGGCUAAACCAUGCACCGAAGCUGCGGCAGCGACGCUUAUGCGUUGUUGGGUAGGGGAGCGUUCUGUAAGCCUGUGAAGGUGUGCUGUGAGGCAUGCUGGAGGUAUCAGAAGUGCGAAUGCUGACAUAAGUAACGAUAAAGCGGGUGAAAAGCCCGCUCGCCGGAAGACCAAGGGUUCCUGUCCAACGUUAAUCGGGGCAGGGUGAGUCGACCCCUAAGGCGAGGCCGAAAGGCGUAGUCGAUGGGAAACAGGUUAAUAUUCCUGUACUUGGUGUUACUGCGAAGGGGGGACGGAGAAGGCUAUGUUGGCCGGGCGACGGUUGUCCCGGUUUAAGCGUGUAGGCUGGUUUUCCAGGCAAAUCCGGAAAAUCAAGGCUGAGGCGUGAUGACGAGGCACUACGGUGCUGAAGCAACAAAUGCCCUGCUUCCAGGAAAAGCCUCUAAGCAUCAGGUAACAUCAAAUCGUACCCCAAACCGACACAGGUGGUCAGGUAGAGAAUACCAAGGCGCUUGAGAGAACUCGGGUGAAGGAACUAGGCAAAAUGGUGCCGUAACUUCGGGAGAAGGCACGCUGAUAUGUAGGUGAAGUCCCUUGCGGAUGGAGCUGAAAUCAGUCGAAGAUACCAGCUGGCUGCAACUGUUUAUUAAAAACACAGCACUGUGCAAACACGAAAGUGGACGUAUACGGUGUGACGCCUGCCCGGUGCCGGAAGGUUAAUUGAUGGGGUCAGCGCAAGCGAAGCUCUUGAUCGAAGCCCCGGUAAACGGCGGCCGUAACUAUAACGGUCCUAAGGUAGCGAAAUUCCUUGUCGGGUAAGUUCCGACCUGCACGAAUGGCGUAAUGAUGGCCAGGCUGUCUCCACCCGAGACUCAGUGAAAUUGAACUCGCUGUGAAGAUGCAGUGUACCCGCGGCAAGACGGAAAGACCCCGUGAACCUUUACUAUAGCUUGACACUGAACAUUGAGCCUUGAUGUGUAGGAUAGGUGGGAGGCUUAGAAGUGUGGACGCCAGUCUGCAUGGAGCCGACCUUGAAAUACCACCCUUUAAUGUUUGAUGUUCUAACGUUGACCCGUAAUCCGGGUUGCGGACAGUGUCUGGUGGGUAGUUUGACUGGGGCGGUCUCCUCCUAAAGAGUAACGGAGGAGCACGAAGGUUGGCUAAUCCUGGUCGGACAUCAGGAGGUUAGUGCAAUGGCAUAAGCCAGCUUGACUGCGAGCGUGACGGCGCGAGCAGGUGCGAAAGCAGGUCAUAGUGAUCCGGUGGUUCUGAAUGGAAGGGCCAUCGCUCAACGGAUAAAAGGUACUCCGGGGAUAACAGGCUGAUACCGCCCAAGAGUUCAUAUCGACGGCGGUGUUUGGCACCUCGAUGUCGGCUCAUCACAUCCUGGGGCUGAAGUAGGUCCCAAGGGUAUGGCUGUUCGCCAUUUAAAGUGGUACGCGAGCUGGGUUUAGAACGUCGUGAGACAGUUCGGUCCCUAUCUGCCGUGGGCGCUGGAGAACUGAGGGGGGCUGCUCCUAGUACGAGAGGACCGGAGUGGACGCAUCACUGGUGUUCGGGUUGUCAUGCCAAUGGCACUGCCCGGUAGCUAAAUGCGGAAGAGAUAAGUGCUGAAAGCAUCUAAGCACGAAACUUGCCCCGAGAUGAGUUCUCCCUGACUCCUUGAGAGUCCUGAAGGAACGUUGAAGACGACGACGUUGAUAGGCCGGGUGUGUAAGCGCAGCGAUGCGUUGAGCUAACCGGUACUAAUGAACCGUGAGGCUUAACCUUACAACGCCGAAG